rnacentral:lncRNA from 1 species
CUUCAUUUCGAACCUUAUUUCCAUCCAAGAUCAUCUCUCCCAUUUCACACAAUAUAUUUUCAUUGAAAUACGUAACCCUCAUUACGUAUUUCUUCAAUAUCGUAUUUCUUUGAACCAUAUUUCUGUGAACUUUCUGCGUUCCCUCUUUUCUUUACAUUUCAUCUUUCUUCGAACCAUUAUUCAGGUAUUGAUGUUAUAAAUUUUUUGUAAUCAUUAAAAUGCAUGUUGAGCUUUUUUAAGAUAUACUGAUACAUGUUGAGGUUGUUUAUAAUAAUGCAUGAUCCAUGUUGAGCUUGUUGAUGUUAUACUAAACUGCAUGUUGAACUUGUUGUAGUUAAAUGGAUACAAACAAAGAUAUAGAAGUUCAAAAUGAAGAAGUUGGCACCUCCAAGACUUAUGAAAAAGAAGUCAAACGUGGUGCAACUAUAAUGCAAAAGGUGAUUAAAGCAAGGAGUAGUGGGAUUAAAUUUGAGGUAUACUAUACUUUGUUUGCUGUGUGAUUUUUA